rnacentral:rRNA from 1 species
UCGAGAAUCUUCGGCAAUGGGCGAAAGCCUGACCGAGCGACGCCGCGUGUGGGAUGAAGGCCCUUGGGUUGUAAACCACUGUCAGAGGGGAUGAAGUGCAUGUGGGCUAUCCCAUGUGUUUGACAUAGCCUCAGAGGAAGCACGGGCUAAGUAUGUGCCAGCAGCCGCGGUAAUACAUACUGUGCAAACGUUAUUCGGAAUCACUGGGCUUAAAGGGUGCGUAGGCGGCUAUUUAAGUAGGGUGUGAAAUCCCCCGGCUCAACCGGGGAACUGCGCUCUAAACUGGAUGGCUUGAGUGAGAUAGGGGUGUACGGAACUGCCAGUGGAGCGGUGAAAUGUGUUGAUAUUGGCAGGAACGCCUGUGGCGAAAGCGGUACACUGGGUCUCAACUGACGCUGAGGCACGAAAGCCAGGGGAGCGAACGGGAUUAGAUACCCCCGUAGUCC